UGAUGUAUGCACCUCAUGGUACACAUAGGGUUUUGAUUUGCUUUCCUUGACUGCAGAAGAUGUUAUUAUGAUGAGCCAGGUCAUGGUACACAGGCUAACUAAACAAGCUUCUGUUGUUUUAUUGUUGGUCGUUCCCGUCCACUGCUGCCAACAGUCAAUUUUCUGCAGGGUUUUUAUUUCUUUCUCUUCCAUCGAAAGCUCCUUUUUGCCACUGAUUAAUUAGUUGAUGCAUGUGGAGAUUUUCGAUACUAGGAGAACCAAGUUUAAACAUGUGCAAUUCCAUCUAUCUAGCAUCAAUUUCGGGUGAGGUUAGACUACAAGAAAGACUAGAUAUUAAGCUUGUUCAUUCUAUCUACACCUUUUGAAUCUGAAGUGACUACUGUUGUAAAUAAUGCUACUUGAGUACCUGGUUGAUUGGUUUUGUUUAUUGUGGCAUUGAGUAGCCUACUACAUUAGUGGUGUCAGCUAUAUUUUGUAAGUUUGUUAUCGAUUCAAUUUAGUUAUUUGUGUGUGUGAUUGAAAAAUAAUGGUUUACAUAUGAAUUGCUACAGUUUUAUAUAAUACUCUUUGAUCUGUGCUGCUAGGUCUGCUACUGCGUGCAUGACAACAUGAGGUGUCGCAAUCGGUGCGGUAUGCUGGUGAUAGAUGUUCUCGAUUGUGAUGCCCAAGCCUGUCUGCCGCAAUUGUGUGUUCGUUACUGCUGAGGUUAGAAAAAGCAUACAUCAAUUUUUCUCCUGCAAUUGUACGGUCGUUUCUGCUUUAGUUUAGAAAAACAUAAAACUGAGUUAUUUUUGCCUUUGGCAGACAGUCAUCCUACUUCGUAGUAAUCUGUGCCUUUCGUAUUUGCAUACUAAUCACGAGCCUUUUCUUCAUAAUGCUAAAUUUUGAAUUGCUUUGGCUCUAUAAUUUGUUUGAACUGAUCAUUUAAGAAUUUCAGAUAAGCGCAUCCAGAUCUUUUGACCCUUCCACGAAAAGGUGUAACAUGGUAAAUUUGUCGCAACAAGCAGCAUGGCAUUCUUGAUAGCUUUUCUCCCUAUUAUGACUUGCAUCUUUCUACCUUGCCCCAAAUUAAAUUUGAUUGGGACUGUUUGAUUGAAUGUCAAAUAAAGAUCAACUUUAUCUCUGAUCGAUUCAUGGAAAUGGAAACUGAAUAAUAUUCUGAUUAUUACUUGCAUGCUAUAUUCACUGUUUUUGGUUUAACAACUUGCAAGUGUUUCUUUUAAUCCGCAGAAAAAGGACUCACGGGUGGACAUCUGCUAUAAAUUACCUAGGCCUGGUCAUCUGCGUGAGUUGCAUCUGUCAUUUUUCUUCCCAGGUAGAACAUUAGUUUUGAUUAAAAACAAGGUAGAACAUUAGUGUUCUCCACAGUUUGAUGGGAACACUUUGACUUUCUGUAACCCCUAGAUUUGGUAUUUCCUGAUGAUUGCUUGCGGUUCUUCUUACUUUCUGGUAUAAAUAGAGAAAAAUGAGGAUAUUGUAGUUAUUUUAGAAUGUUCAAGAUUUAGGUGUCCAUACUGUGCUAACUAUGGUCUGAAUUGUUUUGCGGAAUCAUGAUGUCAUGUCGUGAUUACACAAUUCCAAGCUGUGGUUCAGAAGCACACUUCGCUAAAAUACACAUAAUGGUUUUUUUGGGUUUUCUUCUCACAAUAUAUGUACGUAAAUCAUGUAAUUUGCAACCUUGGUAAG
rnacentral:lncRNA from 1 species